AACGAACGCUGGCGGCAGGCCUAACACAUGCAAGUCGAACGCCCUGGCAACAGGGAGUGGCAGACGGGUGAGUAACGCGUGGGAACGUACCCUUCGGUUCGGAAUAACUCAGGGAAACUUGAGCUAAUACCGGAUACGUGCGAGAGCAGAAAGAUUUAUCGCCGAAGGAUCGGCCCGCGUCCGAUUAGCUAGUUGGUGAGGUAAUGGCUCACCAAGGCGACGAUCGGUAGCUGGUCCGAGAGGAUGAUCAGCCACACUGGGACUGAGACACUGCCCAAGCUCCUACGGUAGGCAGCUGUGGGGAAUGGUGGAGAAUGGGCUCAACCCUGAUCCAGCCAUGCCGCGUGGGUGAUGAAGGACCUAGGGUUGUAAAGCCCUUUCGGCGGGGAAGAUAAUGACGGUACCCGCAGAAGAAGCCCCGGCUAACUUCGUGCCAGCCGCCGCCGUAA
rnacentral:rRNA from 1 species